AGUGAACGCUGGCGGUAGGCCUAACACAUGCCAGUCGAACGGCAGCACAGUAAGAGCUUGCUCUUACGGGUGGCGAGUGGCGGACGGGUGAGGAAUACAUCGGAAUCUACUUUUUCGUGGGGGAUAACGUAGGGAAACUUACGCUAAUACCGCAUACGACCUACGGGUGAAAGCAGGGGAUCUUCGGACCUUGCGCGAUUGAAUGAGCCGAUGUCGGAUUAGCUAGUUGGCGGGGUAAAGGCCCACCAAGGCGACGAUCCGUAGCUGGUCUGAGAGGAUGAUCAGCCACACUGGAACAGAGACACGGUCCAGACUCCUACGGGAGGCAGCAGUGGGGAAUAUUGGACAAUGGGCGCAAGCCUGAUCCAGCCAUACCGCGUGGGUGAAGAAGGCCUUCGGGUUGUAAAGCCCUUUUGUUGGGAAAGAAAAGCAGCAGGUUAAUACCCCGCCGUUCUGACGGUACCCAAAGAAUAAGCACCGGCUAACUUCGUG
rnacentral:rRNA from 1 species